rnacentral:rRNA from 1 species
UACGUAGGGAGCAAGCGUUGUCCGGAAUCAUUGGGCGUAAAGAGCGCGUAGGCGGUCCGGUAAGUCGGUUGUGAAAACUGGGGGGCUCAACCCUCAGACGCCGACCGAUACUGUCGGGCUAGAGUCCGGAAGAGGCGAGUGGAAUUCCUGGUGUAGCGGUGAAAUGCGCAGAUAUCAGGAGGAACACCAAUGGCGAAGGCAGCUCGCUGGGACGGUACUGACGCUGAGGCGCGAAAGCGUGGGGAGCAAACAGG